CGGCGAGUGAAGCGGCAACAGCUCAAAUUUGAAAUCUGGCCUUUGGUCCGAGUUGUAAUUUGUAGAGGAUGAUUUUGGUGCGGUACCUUCCGAGUUCCCUGGAACGGGACGCCUUAGAGGGUGAGAGCCCCGUACGGUUGGAUGCCUAGCCUCUGUAAAUCUCCUUCGACGAGUCGAGUAGUUUGGGAAUGCUGCUCUAAAUGGGAGGUAAAUUUCUUCUAAAGCUAAAUACUAGCCAGAGACCGAUAGCGCACAAGUAGAGUGAUCGAAAGAUGAAAAGCACUUUGAAAAGAGGGUUAAACAGCACGUGAAAUUGUUGAAAGGGAAGCGCUUAUGACCAGACUUUUUCUAGGCGGAUCAUCCGGUGUUCUCACCGGUGCACUUCGCCUAGUUUAGGCCAGCAUCGGUUUCUAUAGGGAGAUAAAAGCUUCAGGAAUGUGACUCCUCCGGGAGUGUUAUAGCCUGUUGUAUAAUAUCCUUACGGGGACCGAGGUACGCGCUCUGCAAGGAUGCUGGCAUAAUGGUCAUCAGCGACCCGUCUUGAAACACGGACCAAGGAGUCGAACAUUUGUGCGAGUGUUUGGGUAUUAAACCCUCACGCGUAAUGAAAGUGAACGGAGGUGAGAGCCUUUUAGGUGCAUCAUCGACCGAUCCUGAUGUCUUCGGAUGGAUUUGAGUAGGAGCAUAACUGUUCGGACCCGAAAGAUGGUGAACUAUGCGUGGAUAGGGUGAAGCCAGAGGAAACUCUGGUGGAGGCUCGCAGCGGUUCUGACGUGCAAAUCGAUCGUCAAAUCUGCGCAUGGGGGCGAAAGACUAAUCGAACCAU
rnacentral:rRNA from 1 species